AUCCUUUUCUGGUUCAUAAGCAUGAUGAUUGGGUGUUCACGCGAUGUGAGAUGUGCCUCCCUUAAAUCUUGUUACGAUGUUGGCACAUUACCCUUCUGACG